UGUUGGUUUAUUAGCCUAGGACAACACCCUUACCAGAUUAUUUAUCAAAAUAGCCCUAUGUUGUUAGAAUUUACUAACUUUAUGCAAGUGUAACCCAGGUUGACAUGACACCGUUUCAUUUAAUUCGAUUUAAAUCACAACCCCUUUUAAAAGUUUGUUACUAAUCAGUAAAAAAUACAUGGCUUGUGUAUUGUCGUUCUAAAUAGUGCCACAGAAUGAGAUAAAGAUAUAUAUUGGGAAAAUAUUGCAAAUGAAUGCAUUUAAAUUAUUGAAUCUAAAUAGUAUGGUGUGAUUUGUUAAACCACCUGUAACUCAACAAAGUCGCAUGGCAACUGGUUUGGCUUAGUUAGCCAAUCAGAAAUUAGACCCGCCUCUUUUUAGCGUCAGCAGAUAGCAGUUACGGAGAUUCGUCCUUUUCGGGACGAGCCACAGAUGAGAUUCGACGAUAGACUACUGUUUUUUAAUAGUAACCUAAAGAAGAGAGAUUCCCCCGCCACUAAAAGUCCCGAAAAGCCUGUGCAGUAAAUCGAAACCCUUGGCCGGGUUUUUUUGGUUGUGUGGAUUGAGAUUGGAUCCUGGAUCGUCUGCAUCCUGCUCGCCCUCCCUGGAGGUCUGCAGCGGUGUACAGACUGGCGAGCUACCCCCCAUCGGAGCGAUCCUUUUGAACCCUGAACGGAAGGAGCAGGUGUUGUUGUGUUGUUGUUUCUGCAGUGUGGUAGGGGCAAGAGACUUUGAUUUAUUUAUUUAUUUAUUAAUCGCACGGACCAAACCGGAGUGGUUUUCCACAUGGACUGAGUGAAGCUAGAUCUUUGGAGUAAGCUGUUCUCAGUUUUGCUGUGUACUGUUUGUUUUGUUGAGACGUGUGAUUCAGGGAUGUUUUAAUUUGGUCAGAGGUGUUUUAAAUCCUGUUGUUUUGUGUCUUUGUUUUGUUUUGUUUUUGUUUUGUAAGGGAAGACUCUUUUCCAGAGUCUUUUUCUUUAUUUUUCCUGAAUAAUUAGAGGCUUCCUCGUUGCCAAGUGGCCAUAAACAAUAAAACAAAUAUAUAUAUAUAUAUUUGAAA